ACCCGGAGGAAGAGAAAUCAAACGAGAUGCCCACAGUAGCGGCGAGCGAAGAGGGCAGAGCCCAAACCGAGAAGCUCCGGCUUUUCGGGGUUGAGGACCGGCAGAAUCGAAGUCAGGCCUAGUUGAAUUACCUGGAAAGGUAAGCGAGAGAGGGUAAAAGCCCCGUAGACGAAAGGCAGAGCAGAGAGGCCGAGAUCCAGAGUACCACGAAGCACGAGGAAUUUUGUGGGAAGCAGGGGGGACCACCCUCCAAGGCUAAAAACUACUUGGCGACCGAUAGCGCAUAGUACCGUGAGGGAAAGGUGAAAAGAACCCCGGGAGGGGAGUGAAAUAGUACCUGAAACCGUAUGUCUACAAGCAGUCGAAGCGAAAGCGACGGCGUGCCUAUUGAAGAAUGAACCAACGAGUUAUCUGCACUAGCGAGGUUAAGUGGAAGACACGGAGCCGCAGCGAAAGCGAGUCUUAAGAGGGCGCUAGUUAGUGUAGGUAGACCCGAAACCGCAGUGAUCUACCCAUGUCCAGGUUGAAGCGCAGGUAAAAUUGCGUGGAGGACCGAACCGGUGAGCGUUGAAAAGCUUUCGGAUGAGAUGUGGGUAGGGGUGAAAUUCCAAUCGAACGCGGAGAUAGCUGGUUCUCCCCGAAAUAGCUUUAGGGCUAGCCUGAGGUAGUAAGUAUAGGCGGUAGAGCACUGAUCGGGCUAGGGGCCGUAAAGGUUACCGAACCCUGUCAAACUCCGAAUGGAUAUACUGUAGAGCCUUGGAGUCAGACUACGAGUGAUAAGAUCCGUGGUCAAAAGGGAAACAGCCCAGACCACCAGCUAAGGUCCCCAAUGUCGUACUAAGUGGAAAAGGAUGUGGGGUUUCAUAAACAACCAGGAUGUUGGCUCAGAAGCAGCCACCAUUUAAAGAGUGCGUAAUAGCUCACUGGUCGAGAGACCCUGCGCCGAAGAUUCCCGGGGCUAAAGUACGAAACCGAAGCUGUGGCUGUAUACGUAAAGUAUACGGGGUAGGGGAGCGUUCCCAUAGGGUAGAAGUCGAACUGGAAGGUUCGGUGGACUUGUGGGAAGUGAGAAUGUUGGUAUGAGUAGCGAAAAGAAAGGUGAGAAUCCUUUCCACCGAAAGCAUAAGGAUUCCUGAGCAACGAUCGUCGUCUCAGGGUAAGUCGGGACCUAAUCCGAGGCAGAGAGCGUAGGAGAUGGACAACUGGUUGAUAUUCCAGUACCGGUAGUAAUUGUUUGAGCAAUGGAGUGACACAGAAGGGCAGGCAAGCAUGCGAAUGGAAGAGCAUGUGUAAGCGUGUAGGGUGGUGCAUAGGCAAAUCCGUGCACUGAAAGCCUGAGGCGUGAUGCGGAGUGAGCAGAGAUGCGAGCGAAGUUGUUGACCCCACACUGUCGAGAAAAGCUUCUAGUGAGAGAGCUACCGCCCGUACCGUAAACCGACACAGGUAUGCGGGGAGAGAAUCCUAAGGUGCGCGGGAGAACCCUCGUUAAGGAACUCGGCAAAAUGUACCCGUAACUUCGGGAUAAGGGUAGCCACUGUUGUGAAGUCCCAUGCGGAUGGAGCAUAGAGUGGUCGCAGAGAAGAGGCCCAAGCGACUGUUUACCAUAAACACAGGUGCCUGCUAAAGCGAAAGCUGACGUAUAGGUGCUGACACCUGCCCAGUGCCGGAAGGUUAAGGAAGGAUGUUCGGAUUAGUCCAAAGCAUUCGACUGAAGCCCCGGUGAACGGCGGCCGUAACUAUAACGGUCCUAAGGUAGCGAAAUUCCUUGUCGGGUAAGUUCCGACCCGCACGAAAGGUGUAACGAUUUGGGCACUGUCUCAACGAGGGACCCGGUGAAAUUGAAAUACCUGUGAAGAUGCAGGUUACCCGCGACUGGACAGAAAGACCCCAUGGAGCUUUACUGUAACCUGACAUUGGGUUUUGAUACAUUACGUACAGGAUAGGUGGGAGGCAUGGAAAGCUGGACGCUAGUCUGGCUGGAGCCGCCGUUGGGAUACCACCCUUGAUGUAUUGAAAUUCUAACCGCGAGAGUAACGAAAUCCGGGACAGUGUCAGGCGGGCAGUUUGACUGGGGCGGUCGCCUCCGAAAGAGUAACGGAGGCGCCCAAAGGUUCCCUCAGCGCGGCCGGAAAUCGCGCGAAGAGUGUAAAGGCAGAAGGGAGCUUGACUGCGAGUCAAACACGACGAGCAGGUACGAAAGUAGGGCUUAGUGAU
rnacentral:rRNA from 1 species